CGUAACACGUAUAUAAUCUACCUAAAACUGGAGGAUAGCCCGAAGAAAUUCGGAUUAAUACUCCAUAACAUUGCGAGAUGGCAUCAUUUUGCAAUUAAAGCUCCGGCGGUUUGAGAUGAGUAUGCGUCUGAUUAGCUAGUUGGUGAGGUAACGGCUCACCAAGGCGACGAUCAGUAGGGGAUCUGAGAGGACUAACCCCCACACUGGUACUGAGACACGGACCAGACUCC
rnacentral:rRNA from 1 species